ensembl:lncRNA
UAGAUUUAUAUUUAUUUACUUUACUUAUUUGUUUAUUUUAUCAAGUCGUUAAGUAACUGUUGUUUGAGUAUAUCUGUUUUGCAUCAUCUGUUAUUAAAUAUGUAUGAUAAUAAUUUAAACAUAUUUAUAAUUUAAACAUAUUUAUAAUUUAAACAUAUUUAUAAAUAUAUAUAUAUAUAUAUAUUUUAUCAUACAUAUUAUCAUCAUUAUCACAGUUUUGGAAAUGUUUUGUCACAGAACUUUCAUUUGCAUUUUUGUCAUUUUUGUAUCGGCGGUCUAAAUAUAUCGAUUCCUUACACUAUGAUAGAAGAAACGUGACAUUGUAACACGUUGGACGAUGAGUGCUGUAUUUAAACACUGACCCAGUAACUCAUCCCCUACGCCUCUCACCCAACCUUUUCCACCCUCAUUUUGACCUCCGAAGACCACUCUGAAAAUUUCACACAAUCUUCCUUCACUGCAGUGGUUGCACUAGCGCUCUGAGCCAACAUGUUGCCAUAAUUGGGCCUGUAGUGGCGGCAGAGACCAAGGCAAUUAAUCCUUUCCUCCUGUUGUUUGCACCCUGGUUGGCAGUGACAGGGUGCAGCAUAAUUGGACCGGAGCCCACUUGUCCCCUCCAUUUUACAUUAAUAUCCUCUCAACUCCAGAAUCUAAUCCCGGCCAGGUUGAGAAUCCCACUUCUGCCACCAAUGUCCAGUCUCUCUUUCGUGCUCGUCCACUCCCACCUGUCAACUGUCCUCCAUCACCACGCUGGGCUAAUCCUACACGCUGAGCUCGCAGUUGAGAUUGAAAGUGCGCAAAAUGGGCUGGGGAUUGUCGGUGUGUGCUGUGUGUACGACCAUGUAGGGUUUUGGGUGUGUAAAAGUGCUAGCUAAAAUUCUGAUUUUUAAUUGGUUUGUUUGUCCGUAUCUCUACAGUGAAUGCCAUACAGCACAGCCGCUGAAGACCGAACCCAUUUUAGGACUUUAAAUUUUGUUAAAAAGCUAAGAAACUCUCAAGACAGUUAUUUUGGUCAAAGACAACAAAUGUUUAAAUUUGUUUAUUCAGAAUCAUUGCUGGAGCAGAGAUGGUAUAUGAUAUAUACAUAUACGAAAAAUGGAGAUCGGUUAAACUGUGUUCAGUGUGCAGAAUAUAGGGGGGCUUGGACACUUCAGACCCCCUUUAAUCCUCAAAAAGGAAGUACUCAUUUAAACUGGAAAUGUCAGGGUUAGGGUAGGAAGACAGGACUCGAACACAGACUUUUAAUGAAAAAAUACUUUAAUAGUCAAAAACUCCCACAAAGUAAAAGGGCAAAAACACACACAUGAACCGCCGGGAAAAAAGGCAGGCAGGAAAGCGGAACAUUCAGACAAUAGACAGGGACAUCCGUGACAAGAGACAAUGACGCCACAAGUGACAAACAAAACACACUGCUUAAAUACACAAGGGAGGUGCAGGUGAUUGGACACAGGUGGAAACAAUCCGACAAUCAUAGGGGAUGACAGGACCAGGCAGGAAGUGAAGUUACCCGGGGACACGAGUGGCAGAAAACUACAAAAUAAGACAGGAAGUGCACCACACCGUGACAGGAAAACCGUUUCACACAAAUAUGAAGCAAAAAUAUCCAUCCAUCCAUCCAUUUUCAACCGCUUAUCCGGGGUCGGGUCGCGGGGGCAACAGCUCCAGCAGGGGACCCCAAACUUCCCAUUCCUGGGCCAAAUCUACCAGCUCUGACUGCGGGAUCCCAAGACGUUCCCAGGCCAGUGCAGAGAUAUAAUCUCUCCACCUAGUCCUGGGUCUUCCCUGGGGCCUCUUCCCAGCUGGCCGUGCCUGGAACACCUCCCUAGGGAGGCGCCCAGGGGGCAUCCUCACCAGAUGCCCAAACCACCUCAACUGGCUCCUUUCGACACAAAGGAGCAGCGGCUCUACUCCGAGCUCCUCGCGAAUGGCUGAGCUUCUCACCCUAUCCCUAAGGGAGACGCCAGCCACUCUCCUGAGGAAACCCAUUUCGGCCGCUUGUACCCGUGACCUAAUUCUUUCGGUCAUGACCCAUCCUUCAUGACCAUAGGUGAGGGUAGUGUUAGGGUUUUAAGUAGAAGUGAAUGUCUAGUCAUAGAAUUUGUAGUACGUGUAAUGAUGUUUAGUGAUAGAAUUGUAGUUUGUGUGAUGUUAGAUUAGUUACUACAUUAACAUGUUAGAUGAAGUGAAUACAAUGUGAAUCAAACACAGUUUAUAGUCUCUUAAAUCGUAGAAACACUCUACAUAUUUACAUUCUGUUACAAUGUGAUGUUAAAACCUGGGGACGGAUGCCAAUUGCCGUUCUUUAUGGAUUUCUUCCAAUUUUUUCCCCAAAGAGGGUUUUUUGGGAGUUUUUUCUCCUGUCAGGUAAUAAAUGAACAACUUAAUGCGAGGCAGCCGACUAAGGCAAAUGUCUUGAGAAUUGGACCACAUGAACUGUCUUAGAUCUUAUGGUGAAGGGUGAUGAACGGGGAUCAUUUAAUGAUGGGUUGUUGUAAUUAAAGUGUACUAGUUAUAAGAUGAAGACUUAAACGAUGUAUGCUUUGUUAAAUUCACUCAUUGGGGCAUAAAGCCAACUGUAUCUACAUUGAGUGCAUUGGAAUGUGAGGGACAGCUAGGACAGAGAGGUUUCAGGUUACAGCUGCAGCUUCACACUCGAUGUGGAAGGGACAAUGGAGGAGGUGACCCUUUGGAGAAGAGGCCAAUGACAUUCAAAUGCACCAAGGAAGACACACCUCAAGAGUUUUCAAAGGACCAUGGCGGGGGAAAGACUGUUAGAUUUUCUCCUGCAGCCGCGUUGAUAAGUCACGUUAGACUUGCUCAGAGGAUUCUCUAUUUCGCGAAAUAUUCCACUGUUCGCUUAGUAUUUCACUUUGUAAUUGCAUUCCUUAUAACGUUGUUCAGUUAUUAAAUAACUUUUGAUUUUUGUAUUUAAACGAAUUGACUCACUCGUGUCCUCGUUUCCGGCCGGGACGAGAACAAAGGAGUGAGGCCUCCCUUGAGAGCCUUCCGAAACCUUAACAGUAGGAACGAAGAUUGACCGGUAGAUCGAGAGCUUUGCCUUCCGGCUCAGCUUCCGAACACAUCUCUCGCUUGGGGCCAUCCAAUCCAAGGAUUGGAUGGCCCCAAGCAAGGACCCCCUCACCCCGUACUCCCGCAGCACCUCCCACAGUAUCUCUCGGGGGACCCGGUCAUACGCCUUCUCCAAGUCCACAAAACACAUGUAGACUGGAUGAGCAUACUCCCAAGCCCCCUCUAUGAUCCUGGAAAGAGUGAAGAGCUGGUCCGUUGUUCCACGACCAGGACGAAAACCGCAUUGUUCCUCUUCAAUCCUCUUCAAACGCCUCUCUGCUAUUGAUAAUGCAAUAAAACAUCCAUCGGUUAAAAAGUAUUUUGUACUCUGAGUAGUUUUCGAGAAGAGUACUUUGAACUUUUGCUUAAGUAUUUUUUUAACACUAGUACUUUUGCUUGUAAUUGAGUACAAAUUUUCAGUACUCUUUCCACCUCUGCCGAAAACUGAGGGUGGUGUUGUUUCCUCUCAUAUUACGCUGUUUGUCCACAUUGCUGUGUUGUACCAGCUUCUUCCUUAGGUGGCACCUUUGCAAACUGUCCUCAAUGUAAAUGUUUAAAAAAUGCAAAUCUCCAAAUAACCUGACAUGUAGUAUAUUUCUUUCCCACGGGAACCUUAUAAUUGCACUUAAUUGAAAAUAUAGAUAAGAAACAUCAAGUCAGGGAAAUAUGUCCAAGCAAAGUUGAUACAAGUUGAGUUUUUACCAAAGAUCAUUGUUUGGUUUCAAAUAACUAUGGAAGUCCCAUUACUUAAGUACGCAAGUUACUUGAAGGAUUGUUUACGCAUAACAUCUGUAUCCAAAGAUUGUUGUUACAUUCAAAACUUUACCAGUCUUAGCUUCUUUAUCAUGUCAAGCCAAAGAGUCUACAGAGUUAUGAUUUUAUAAUGAUCAGUCAAGCAACCAUAUAAACAGGAUCUUACAUCUCUAUUAUAUUUAAAUUCUUCAGGGUCAGACAUUUGAAAUGGAAUCAUCUCCUUCCUCAAAUCUUUCAAAGGCCCAUACCAGUUUUUCUCACUUCAACAUCGUCUCUACUUCCCUCCAUCCCCUUCUUUCUUUCCUUCUUUUUUCCACAUCAAUUCCUAAUCUCUACAAAGAUCACUCUUUUGUCAGCAUAGGUGUGCUUCAAAAACACAUCAAUAGAAGUAUAAUAGCACUGUGGUUGCUUUGUUAUUUUAUAUCAUUCUUUUUUUCCCUGCCUGUCAUGCUUAAUUUUUGUGCAUCAACAGUUUAUGUGUGGUGUGUUUUUGCGCCUGGCGGGAGUUAGAAUUACAGUAGAGUGCUCUUGUAAACUUAGUUGAAUAUUCAAUCAGUUAUGUUUCAUAAUGACACAGCAAUGCAGCCAUUUGGUGAAGGGGGUUGCGGGAGGGGGUGUAGAGGAGACGGGAAAGGCAAAGGGAGAAAAAGGAAAAAUCAAUACAACUAGCACACUGGCAUGGCAAAGAGAGGGGAUCUAUUGUGGGGGAAUGAUGAUUUAUGUCAGGGGUGUAAGGGCUGUCUGGGUGCGUCGAGGACGAAGGUGCACCAAUAAUGAUUAAUGCCCCCCAGCUUCCUGGACACAACCCAACCAGCACACCAUGCCUCCCAUCUUUGAAACAGGACUUUUACCUCUUUCUCCUGACUGCAUUGCCAGCUUUCUUAUCGUACAUGCAGACAUUUCUCACUUGAAACGCAAACUAAAAGAGAGCAUCAACCGUCAGUUGCUUUGAUUCCAUCAACAAAUAUUGAUUGGUUUUGUUGCGCAAUUAUUAGUUACGCCCCUCAAUACGUUGCGGAAAAGUUUAGUUGAGUGGGAGAGUUUGGGUGUGAGUCCAAAGUAGAGCAGCAAUCCCCAACCUUAUUUGCUUCGGAUCGCGGGAAAAAAAAUAUGUUAUGAGCGACAAUCGCAUGUAAUUUAUUUUUCAAAAUAAAGUGACCGGAUUCCAAAAAAGUAAAAAGUACAUCACUGGUGUAGAAAACAAGUUUUGACGUUCAAACAAAUCGUUUGUUGUUUUUUCUAAUUUGUAUUUCAUUUUUAUAAACUAUAUAUUGUUCUGACAGCUCAGGUCCCUCUACAUGUUUUUGUGCACAUUUUAAAAUAUAACUAUAUAUAUUGGCAGAUGUAAAGCAUACAUGUGUAUGCUUUUUGUGUUAGUCAAUAUAAUGUUUUAUCAUUUAGUUUAUAAAAAUAAUUAGUUAUUAGUUGCAGCCCUUAACAUAGGCAUAAAGGUUGGUUAGUGGUUUCACUGGCUGACGUGCAAGAUUAUUCACAUUGCAACAGUUUGUGGUUCCAAGUUCCAAAAUUAUUUUCAUAUAGUUAUCCUACAUUUAUACUCAUUUUAUUAAUAUAUUGUCUGAGCCACAUUAAAAGCUCAGAAGUCUGCUGAAGGAGCAGGUUGGAGAGCAUAUAUGGCUCAAACAACAUGGGAUGACAAUCAACACACAGUUGUAGUAGUCCCACAACCAAUCAAUUCAACAUCACUUUAUUGUAGUUUCAUCAUGUAACGUCUGCAAUUACAUAGUUUAAGAGGUUGUGCCAGUGACCAAGCCAUGUAUGACAUACUUGUGGGGGGGGCGCAGACGGGGGUGUUCCGCACGGGGGGGAUUGGGAGUGUUACGCAGGGGGGGGAUCGGCGGUGUGUAAUUCAGUGGCAACAGUGGCACUCAAUGGCACAACUCGUGGCCACAGUGGCAACAGUGCCACUCAGUGGCACAACUCGUGGCACUCAGUGGCACAACUUGUGGCACUCAAUGGCAUAACUUGUGGCCACAGUGGCACAUCAGUGGCAACAGUGCCACUCAGUGGCACUCAAUGGCACAACUCGUGGCACUCAGUGGCACUCCAUGGCACAACUCGUGGCACUCAGUGGCACUCCAUGGCACAACUCGUGGCCACAGUGGCAACAGUGGCACAACUUGUGGCACUCAUGGCACAUCAGUGGCAACAGUGACACAACUUGUGGCACUCAGUGGCCACAGUGGCACAUCAGUGGCCACUCUGGCAAUUCAUUGGCAACCUGUUAGGCGUCCUCAAAGCGCCACUCGAUCCGAGAGGCUGCCGAGCUGUUUCUUGUUUUUUAUUGACUUGAGUGGGGUUUUGCUUUUCAAUUUAUUGGGUUUGUUGAGCAUGUUGUUUUGUUAUUCUAGGACUUGCACUUAUUUUUCCUAUUGCCACUUGUCAGAGGAUAUCCAAGCUGCCACAAUAAUACCUCUAGAUGUCAGAGUUUAUUCCAAAAAUACUCUUUUUAAGGUUAUUUUAUUCUGUUAUGUUUUCAAUGAAAAGUGCUAUUGGAACAUAAAUUCAGUUACACAUGAAAGCAUAAAUAUUUCAUUUGUUAUUUCAUUCAUAUAUAUACAUAUGUAUGAAUGAAAUAACAAAUGUAAACAAAAGGAAACUUAACAAUAAAUAAUAUAAACAUGUAAAAACAACCUGAAAAUAAAUUUAAAAAACUGAACUAGUCCCACUCUUUGAACAAAGCAUUGACUUUGUCCUUGCCCUUGUCAAUAAACUGUGCCACAAACAUUUCGUAGUCACUUCUGUACUGGAAUUCCACGACAAAGACAUUUAUCGGUGCAUCUGCGUCGUCCUCAUUUUCAUCCAUGGAGUUCUUGAGGUCUUGCAAUGCUCGUAGCUGGUUGCCUCUGUCCAUGUUGGUAAUUUCAGGCAAGGUUACCUUCCCCUUAAAUGCUUUUGUCUGCAACCACGUUGCUGCCAACAAGGUGUGUUCGAGCAUUUUCAUUUUUCCCUCAUUCUGCAUUUGAAGAAAAGGAGUAUCAUAAAAAAGGCAUACAUUUUAAAUAUAUAUAUUUUUAAUAAACGUUGACUAUAAAAUAUGAAACAAUAAAAAAGCAAUCCAUUAUAUUUCAACAAGACUGUAUAUAUAUUCUAUGUAUCUAGCACAAUUACCUGUUGGUCUGGUUGGGCUUUCUGCUUCACUGAACAUAACGAGAAUGAAUCAUCACAUAACUUGCAGGAUAUACUUUUCUCUAAAAGAUGAAAAGUCCAGUUAUCCGAAGCAACUACAUAAUUGUAUUACACAUUUCUAAAUUUAUUAAAAAAUGUAAUUUAUCUGUUGUUAAUUGUUGUAGAAAUCCAUAAUUUCUUCAUUCAACACAGACUUCCUAGCACCUACUUACUUAGAAACCUUACUUAGAAAUUAAUUCACAAACAAACAUUUACGUCAUUAAUUUCGUUUAACUUCACACUUAAAAAAAACAGACCACAAAUUGUCUGUCUCAUAAUUUUGCCUGCAGCAGCCUUCUUAAAUAAAACCAGUACUGCAGUACAAAAUCCACUUCUUAAUAUUAUUUGCUUUUUUGGGGGGAUAAUGAAUUUAUAUUUCAUUUGUUCAAUAUAUUUAGAAUUAGCCCCUAUUUGUGUCUUUUUUCUUAUUAUUUCAAAGUAGGUUUUUGAGCCAAUACUAGGACUCUGUCUCUGUGUGAAUUCAACUCCAGCUGAAUCUAUCAACUCUGCUGUGGUCCAUCCCUGUCACAAUGUGUAUAUAUCCUAUAGUUAGUAUUCAGAUGUAUACCCAUUACAUACAUUGUUUUUGUUUUAUAUAGUAGUCCAACCAAAGACUAAAGGAGGCAGGCAAACAUCACAUGUAGUGUAUAAACAAACAAAAAAGAAAAAAAUGAAUAUUGAUUCAGUUUAGAGUUUGUUUUUUCACCUGUCCCUCCACAGAGGCACGGACUGCUGACUUCAAAUCUUCAUCUGCGUUUUGAACUAUUAAAGUGAUAUUACAAAAGUGUUUUUGUAAAUUAACUUAAACAUCUUCAAAUGGAUGAAUAUUAUUUUCGUAUUCAUUUUAUUCUAAUCCAUGAAGAUCUGAAGUUCUGUUAACCUUGAUCACUGCUCUCCAUACUCACUGAAAGUGCUUCGGGAAUGUCAACUUUCUCUCUGCUCUCUUUUUUGCUCUCUCCUCUCCGAGCUGCAUUUAAGAAAAAAAGUUUUAUUUAAAUUGGAAACUUGAGUUGGUAGUUCGAGUUCAGAACAAGUAUUCCUGUCGUGACGCCACAGAACUGCCACUUUUGCCACUGAUGUGCUACUGUACCGCCGAUCCCCCCCCCCCGCGGAACACCCCCGUCUGCGCCCCCCUUCCAAACCCCCCCAGGGGAAUACGUCGGACUUGUGAUAGAGGUGGGGAAUAUGUAGUGUGUCAAAUAAAAUAAAAUAAAUACAAAAAACACAGCAAUGAAAUAAAAAGAACUACAAAAAACAUCUUUACGGCAGCUAACCUGUCGCACAAACAACGGCCAUUUCCGGGAAAGCCUGGCUCCGCCCACUCGGCGUGGCGUUGCGACGCCCGCCCCUUACUUGACGCGAGUUGUGCCACUGAGAGCCACUGAGUGCCACGAGUUUGUGCCACUGAGAGCCACUGAGUGCCACGAGUUUGUGCCAAUGAGAGCCACUGAGUGCCUUGAGUUGUGCCAAUGAGUGCCACUUGUCUUGCUGUGCAAAGACCUGCAAAAGGUAAAUAAAGAUGACCUCCAUUCAGUCACGGCAAAGAACGUGAGAUAAUCUCACCACUUCUGCUCCACAAAGAAGUACUAACUUGUUAAGUCUGGCAGAUAUAUUUUGCGAACUGAACACAUUGAAUGUGUCUUUGCAGAACACCUGUAUUUUAACAUGUCCACUCAUGUCGGUCACAGCCAACUUGACCAACUUGAUUAUUCUCAAGCCUACUCUGCUGAUAGGGAAGAGAUAUCUGUACAGCUGGAUCAAAGCUGAUGCCUUAAGGUGAGUGCACCUAGAUCCCAGCAGUUGCUGGGGCUGCAUUAUGAAGACGUGUAGGGGGCGCUAUUGAGCCAAAAUGCUGUUUGGAAGCAUUGAAAUCAUAUGAAGUAAGUACACCUAUAACUGUUAAUGUGUUUUCCAAGUUUGAUAAAGAUUGGAGCGUAACACAAACAGCGUAACACAAAAACAAAGUUUAAUAACUUAAUCACCAUGGGACCGUUUUGUCCAAAUUUGAAAAGUCUGUAACAAAGUCCCAGAGAGGAGUUCUUUAAAGUACAGCAUCUAGGAAGUGCAUAAAAUAGAGGAAAUUUUCACACAAAAAAAUUAACCGACUUCCUGUUCAUUUUAGAGCAUGGUCCCAAGACACUUUUUUUUACGUCUCCCUAUCAUGAAUAUGUCCAAAAAUUGUCUUUUAUGAAGGACAAACAGGGCGCUGGGGCUACUUCCUUGAAAACUCCCAAUAUACACUGUGAACUAUCAUCAAAGCCUUAAGGCUUAUAUUCAAGGUUGAUCAGAUUAAAUGGCUAGGAGAUACACAUUAAAGUGUAAAACUUUUGCAUUUAGCUAAGCCAAUAGGUGACGCUAUAAUUUUUUGAAAAUCACUGCGGAAAUACUUUAAGGCGUACGAUAGCAUCAUAAAUUAGAAGUUUCGGCCAGAAAUAAAAAUGUUCCUUGGAGUUAUAACAUCUUACGUUUUCAAGAAAAUUAACCAAAAUGGACGUCAAGCCACGCCCUGCUAGUUUCACAAAAACUCUUGAUUUUAAUAACUUUUGACCAUCCAGAUGUCAGAAUCAAUUUUCCCUGAAAAUGAAGUGGAUCGGGUCUAAACUCUCGGAGGAGUUUGUUUGUAAAUCCAAAAUACAAUAGAAAUUGCAAAAAACAUGCAAAAUUUCAGAGAACGACUGCAGCGCCCCCUAAAGUUCAAAUAUUCUGAAAGAAUCAGGGUAUGCUCAGGGACUCAAUGUGAACAUAUCCUAGAGAUUUGGUGAGGACAAGUCAAAUACCUUUGAAGUUAUACGUCUUUCACUUUUAGGCCACACCCCCUAAAACCUUCAUUGGUCCAUAACUUCGAAACCCAAAGAGAUAUCAACAAUCUUGCUAGGCGCUUUUGCACACCAUGAUUGACUUUUUUGUAGAGCAGAUCAAAGAGCACCUGUGUGCAAAAUUUCAAGUCAAUCAGUGAAACUGGGGGAAAAUUUCCCCAAAGAAAGCACUUCCAGGUGGCGCUAGAGAGCCAUUUUUGUAUCCCCAAUUGCGCAACCCAAAGAAUAUCUCAAUGUUUCGCACUUUUGAUUCGCACGCCAACAUUCAAGAGUUUUUGAAUAUGAUAAAGGCCUCAAAAGUGCGAUUAAAGUGGAGAAAUAAUAAUGAUAAUAAUUCUUCAAAACACAAUAGGGCUUUCGCCCGACUUGCAGUCGGCUCAGGCCCUGAAUAAAGUUAGCCAUGGUUAGCUCUAAUUUACUCGAAGAACUGGAUCUACAAUCCUUUCAAAUGUAAAUGACCAUUGUCAACACAAAUGAAGACUACAUCAAAUGUAUAUGGACAGUCACCAAAUCUUCAGCUCUUAUAAAAGUGUGUAAAGCUCCUUUUGUAAUGAAACAUAUGUAACUGAUUAAAACAAAUACAAAAAAAGAGUCAUUGCAUAUAACUGGUGCAGGGAUACGAUGUUGUCUUUGUCCAUUUCGCAAUGCUUUUGACAUGGCCAACUGAAAUUUCAUGGUCUUCCAUUGUUCUAUUGAUCCCCUUAACCUUUUCACUUCUGUACGUCCUAUAAUUAGUGUAACACAUUAUUUUCUUGGCUGAAUCAUAACCAGCCAUUCUCAACACAACCUACAUUUUUUGUUGAACAGUCUUUCCUAUUCCUUGUCCCCCCCUUCAUUUCCGGUUUCUCUCUUUUGGGUCUGUCCUCCAGGUUUUCCUACACCUGCUCUGUGCCGCCACAUUCUUGAAUUCCACUGAGCAGGUCUCCUCAAGUGGUAUAAAAAGCCUCCAACUGUCACGUGUGUAUUCUAUUCUAUUUUGCUUAGCAACGAACGUACAGUGGCCGAGGGGGAAAUCCAUACGUGCACGAACCAGGACAACUUGGUUGGUGACUUCCUCCUCAAGGUGUGGCGUUUAACUGUUUGAAUGCGUAUGUCCCACUGUCAAUGUGUGAGGCUUGAGAAACAUGCAAGUUUAUUAUUUUAGAUCUGUUUAUUGAGUAAAAUAAAACAAUAGGAUAAUUAAAUUAAAAUGUGUAGUAAAGAACAAUAAAACAUCAACUGAUUUUAAAGCAAUGAGGUUGUUUGAAGUGAGCUGAGAGUGUACCACUCUGUCAACCACAAAUUAUUAUACGUGUAAUUUACCAUGUCACCAUAAAAGACCAAAUUGACUUAAAAUUAAGUAGGUUACAUAAGGUCAGAUCGUGAGAUUACGCUUUAAUAUGUGUAACAACCACAAACAUAUAAAAGGCUACUUUGGCUAAAGUGUAGUUAUAGAUAUAAAAUCUUCCAUUUUUGCAGUAAAGCAAGAUACAAGAAGUGUAGAAUAGUAACAGCAAAACAAGCAAAAUGCUGACACAUGGGCUCUCGCACGCCACCUUACUUAAGGCAGAGGUACGGUUUCUCUCCCCUCUGAUUUUUCAUGCUGGUUAUGUCAGACUAAAUAGGUGUGGGAACAGUGUAGGUUGGGGAGGCCUAACCGCUGAAAGCUGGAGAGCCUGAAUCCGUAAUACUAUUCUUUGGCCGAGCCAAAUCGGAACAAAGUCCGAAGAAAUACUACAGUCUUAACUUUACAUCAACACAAGUCAUUUUAGGAGGGACCCCUAUGGUGUCUGUGGCUUCACCAAUCAGAUCUCAGGGCAAUUUCACUAUGACAGAUAAAUCACACAUAGGUGUGAGGACUGGUUUUAUGUCCUGUAGCAGCAAUGCAUUCCAAAACUCAGCCUUGGUUUUUACGCUAUGGUGGGAACCAAUAUAGGUUUUACAGAUAUAGGAAAUACAUUACCUAUAACAUGGAAAGAAAAGAGACGUGACAAAUGAUGAAAACGCAAAAUGCAAGCACCCAACCCAGUUUCUGCCUGCCUGCCUUUUGGACUCGAGGGUCCCCCACCUGAGUUCCGAUCAAGUCUACCACAUAAAAAGGUACUCCUAUAAACUAAUUUAAUAAUGGCGCACACAACAAAAAACAUUAGAGCCUAUCAAUAAAUAAUAGUAUAUCAAUAUCUUUACUGAUAAUUAAUGGUCCAGUCUUAUGGUGGCCAAUAGAAUUUUUAUGUGCUGUACUGGCUAUGCCAUGUGGUGAUGGAUCUCUGGCUACCCAGCUGUGUGGCUCCAGCACAGGGGCGGUCACUUUUAAGCUCAGCAUCAGCAGUUUGUCUCUGCCAGAGCUGUCAGUGCUCACCAUGCGGUACAAAGAAAGCAAGAACAGAGCAGCAAGAACAGAGCGACAGAGCGGGGCCGAAGGUGAGAUGAACAGAGUGAGAGAUGACCGCACAACGAAGAAAAUAAAUAGAUGGAGGACACUUUGCAGACAGAGAGAUGGAAGGAGACAAAGUGCUGGACUCUGCUACGAUGCCAAAUUUAAGACCCUAGAGCAGUGGUUCUUAACCUUGUUGGAGGUACUGACCCCCACCAGUUUCAUAUGCGCAUUCACCGAACCCUUUUUAAUUGGAAAAAUACAAUUCAAAACAUAGGUAUAUAUUUUACUGGUGCACAAAAUGAACCGUGCAUCAACAUCAGUGUUCAAAGAACAAAACCAUUAAAACAAUUUUUAAUACUUCUGCCAGUUUUGGAGGCAAGGUUUUUGUUGCCAACGCAUGCCUGUGAAGAAUACAAUGAGUAACAAUGAUGUGUGGUGCAUCGGCUUUCACUAGCGCACCAAAACCAGACUUUCUUCCCAGCAUGACUGGAGCUCCAUCCGAACAAACUACAGAAACCAUAUCCCACAAAAGAUUGUUGUCUUUGAAGUCAUCCACAAGUUUCUUCACAUCGGCUGCCUUAGUUGUUGUCGUAAGAGGCUUACAAAAUAAAAAAUCUUCCUUUAUCACGUUGUCUUUCACAUAGCGCACAAAUACAGCAAGCUUGCUUAGAUUGGAAACGUCUGUGGUCUCGUCCAGUUGAAGGCUGAAUUUUGCCAGGCUUGAAAUCAGAUCUGCAACUACUUGAGCCAAGAUGUCUUUGCUCAUGUCCUCUAUUCUGUCACUAAUGGUGUCAUUUGAAAGAGGAAUUUGGGAUAACUGAACUUCAGCCGCUUUUCCCAGCAUGAUAUUCGCCAUCUUCAACACAGCUGGUUUUAUGAGUGUUUCACCAAUGGUGUGUGGUUUGCCCUGCUUUGCGAUCAGGUAAGCAACUUUGUACGAUGCUGUGAGGAUCGGUUUGUUGAUGGGUACAAAGCCGAGAACAGGCAGAGUAGCCUUUUCAUCGAAUCUGGCUCUCUUCACCUUGAAUUCAGCGAGCGUUGUGUUCUUGUAUUGUCCAUCUCCAUGCAGCUUAAGGAAGUGUUCUUAGUUUUGCCGGUGCUAGACUAGAAUUGCUCAACUUGGCAUUGCAAAUCAUGCAGUUAGGACGCCGACUCCCAUCAUGUUCAGUUAUACAUGUGAAUCCAUAUUGUACAUAUUCGUCCGACCACUUUCUUUUUUUGCUCGUCAUAGUUAGUAUGAAGGGAUUAAAAUAUUAAGAAAGAAAUCACACGACGUACCAUCACGACAGUCACAAUUUGACUACUGAGCGUGCCAAAUUCCCUGCAGCACAGAUAGGCCAAGCGAUGUUGCGUGAUCUCCUGCAGCCAAUGAUGGCCAAGCGGGGCGUGUAAUCACGAAUCAUAUGAGUCGGGUGUGUGUCUUGACCUCCGCCGAACCCCUGAGACUGACUCACCGAACCCCUGGGGUUCGAUCGAACCCAGGUUAAGAACCACUGCCCUAGAGACAUACACUUUAUGUAUAUAUGGGUUUUAGUGACUUUAAUCCAGCUGUAUGUCCUAAUGUUAAUGUAUGAACGUGGCUAUAUAUUACACACACAAUUUGAUGCUUUGUUUUCACCAGGCACACAAAAUAAAGAUUUAAAUCAAACUGGGAAUAGAUGACAUUUUAUGUGGCAACAGCAUUAGAAAAGCAAAUUUGUUCUGUUUUUAUAGGGAUCUAAUACAUAUAAAGGGAUUGUCUUUCCAUAAGUCCCUGUAAAUGCAUGGUCAAAAAUAUAUGUAUUAUACAGUUAACUGCAGACUGUACCUUUUCAUUCAAUAUACACACACUCAAUAUGGUCCUCUGGUGUGUGUUAACCACACUGUUAUAUCCUGCCAGUCACUCUUUGGAAUGGACUUUUCAGUUUAAUCAACAGAAGCAAAGUCCUUUACAUCCGCUUGCAUGUUGCCCAUAUGACUAUGGCUAUUGCCUGGUAGUGUAAUUUGGGGUAACAUUUUUAUGGAAGAUUAAGACGAUCGAACUGUCAAAGAGAAUAGUGCUAUACAAGCGGCACAAGGAGAUGUCAACUUGGAGACAACUGAGGCCAUAUGUGAUUGUUCUGAGCGUGGAUCCCACAUUAACAGUGGAAAGAUCUUUUUUACAAGGCAAUGAAGUGUUAUUCAGAUUCCGCAUACACAGGACUGAGCAGAAUGGAAGAAGUGGUCACCAGAUGCGGAAAGCUAGAGAUCGCUCUAAAGAUGGAUGUGGUUACAGUGUAGUCAAACUACAUUUAUUUUCUUACUUAUUGUGGCAAUACGAGUGGCCUAUGACACUCAAGGAAAAUAACAAUGUCCAACAACGCCACUUGGGAUAGGCCCAAGACCAUUCACGUUAAGGCACACAGAGCCGUUCACCAAAAUCAGGGGUCAGAGACCAUAAGGGAAUUAUAAAAAUAUACGGUUUUAUUUAGUUAAAUAUUCAUUUUAAAAUGACAAUAUGUUAUUUGUUAAGGAGUAGAUCAGUGAUAAGAAAAUAAACAAAACAAUUCAAAUCAAUAAACCGGCAUGCAUAAAAAGGAAGAUGCAAACAAAAUAAAAAAAAGGAAAAGACCUACAUGCAAUAUAUACACAUACACAACAGUUAAUACACUAUAGAGAGACAUUUUUGUACCAGUUUCCAGAUUGCUUGUGUAGUCAGAAGUUUUACCAGAUGGGUUUCAGCCGGUAUCAAGAACAGGUUCAGUGGGGGAGGGAGAACGCUCUGGGGAAUAUUGGCCCUUUAAUUAGUCGUGGCACCAGGAUAGCCCCACAAUAGCAUGUCCAAGGCUGCAGCCCGGUCCAGCUGUGUUUUAAAACACACCGUUAGAACACGACCGCAAUGAAUGUACAGCAAACAGGCAAACACAGCGACUUACCGAAUUACAGUACAGGCCGCCCACGGACCCCGGCAGUGGCACCCACCUCGCACACACAGACAGCGGCCCACACUAUAACAAUUAAGACUGUCAGAUUUUAAUAACGCCCAAAUGUGUCGAAAGAGAGAAGCAUGCAUCGUACUGAGACACCAAACACCAGCAGUCCAGGCAUACAUCCACCCACACGGGGACAUCCAUGACCAAGACAGGGUCGCUAUAUGAAAGAAUGCACAUUGGUGCCGCAUACACGGCGACACAGGACAAUAAAAAGGCACAAAAGAUGGGGAAAGUGCCCUUACCACACCGCAGCAGAAUGAUGACCUAGGGCAGCGGCCAAAACAUGAAGCACGCCUCCCGGACACGUCUCCAUAGACACCCAGCAGGAGAAGACAACAAAGCGAGUCCACACACCACAGGCUUAUGUAAUGGCCCCGCCUCUCCCAAUCAAUCGGAAUUAGCCCCAGGUAUGCUGGUCCACACCCCUGUGUGCAGGUAAGAGGGAGGGGAAAACACUCAUCCGGUCACAUUAUUUUCCCGGUACUCGGGUAAUCAGACAGGCAACGGUAUCCAAAUUGCACGGCGACGACACACUAGGAAAUUGUUGGUAAGCUCACUGGUACAGACUGAGACAAACUGGCACAGAACAAGGAUUGACACAGACUAAAUACACAAGGGAGGGCAAACAACGAGACACUGGUGGAAACAAUCAGUUAUCACACAGUGGGGAGAGGUGCCUGACACAAGAGAACAGGUGAGUCACAGACAAACUACAUAAAAGGACUGGGCAUGAUGCUGUCAACAUAAACCUGUUAAUCUAUGCGAUUAAUGUGGCCAAGAUUAAUGCAAGAUAAAAUAAUUGAAAGUAGUUAACGUAACUUUGAUUACUUCCGGUCUAGUCGGAAGUUGGUUGCGGAAAAUAAACAAGCAAGACGGUAGCAAGAGAGCUUUUUGCAUUUAAUUUGAAGUAAAACAGCGGCAUACAGUAGAGAACUGUGGGAAGGAAUUCUUGUGCGAAGGAAUUCCACAGGUCUAACCGAAGGGGGGUGAGUGGCAAACGGAUAACUUAACUAGCUGCUAGGCUACUUCCAUCUCAACAUCUAACGUUACCCUGUGGGCACAGAGGCUGCAGAGGACAACCACUGUGUUCCUAAAAGACAGUGUUUUGUAAACAUCCUGGCUAAAUGUGGGGAGAUUGUUGGCACUUCAAACACAAGUGCACGAGGGAAGCAGGAAGGGUCGCUAGUUCAACAUGUUCCACUCCGUGGAAUGGUCUUCAACGUUUUUCAAGCCAUGGUCCCCCAAACUGAUGGCGAGGUGGAGCAGGGACCCCCUAUUCUACGGAGUUUGGUCCACCAUCUUUUAUUUUUGAUCUUCACGCUUUUUAGACGUGAGCAUAAACGCGAUCUGAUUGGCUGGUGCCUGCGCUGUCGUAUUCGCAUGAAAGGAGCUGUGAGUGAACCGGUGCCCAGCUUGAGAGCUGCUGAGGGAAGCUGAAUGUGUGUGUUGCGCACUGACAGAUAAAGUCUUCUCCAUCAAUUUAUCCGUUCGCUUCAAUAUGUUGGAUUCAUGUUAAUGUGUAUUUAAAGACCAUAAAUAAAAUUCUGAUUCUGAAGACAUUUACAUUUGUGGGGGAAAAAAUAGUUUAAAAAAAUGGUCUUAUCAACCAAAAAUUUCGCGACCCCCCUGCAGUACCUUCGCAGACCCCCUGUUGAAGACAGUCUGUCUUAGAUGAUCAAAUGUGUAUAGUUUUGUGUUUAACAUAAAAUGAACAAUUAAAUAAGUGUCUAAAAUACCCCCAUUCAUUGACAAAAUAUUCUAACAAUCAGUGCUGUAGUGGUAAAAUUAGAGGUGGGUAAACUCUGAAUUUUGUGAUCAUACAGACCUCGACGCGAUGCGAAGCAACGCAACACAAAGCGUCGCGACUCUGUAAGGCUGUCCUGGCUAUAUUGCAUUAUGUUAUCAGUAAAAGUCAUAUACAAUCAAUGACAAUGAAUACAUGUGUUAGUAGUUUGUAGUUUAUUAAAUUUAAGAAAACAGUAAAGAAAAGUAUGUCAACAAGACAAUUGCAGAUUAAGAACUAUCUACAUACGGAGUCUCCUUUUUACAGUAGUGCCCAGAGGGCCUCCUUGUCCUUCACGUCAGGUCCUGCCUUGCACAGAGGAGCCAUGGCUCAAGGUUCAUGGGUCCUCUGUGCUUCUCUCUCUAUUCGACCUGGUGUUUCUCCUCUCCCUGUGCUCUCUGCAUCACUGCCUGUCCUAUCACUGCCUGAAAAAAUAUGUUGAAUUUAAGAGUUAACCAGUUAAGCAGCCUGUCAAUUACACUGACAACAUAAGUUAAAGGAACACUCAUGUACUACCUAUGUCAUCAUAAAUAGCCUAUACAGCAUGUUUUUUUUCACAUUGAGAACCGACUUGUUCUCUAAUCUACGCGUCACCAGGCGUUUUUCUUGUCCUUUUACCGUGCACGACCAGCGAACACAGAUCGCGCGACUACUACCCCCCCCGUCGGUCGUUCCGCCCGCAACGACUACUACACCCCCCCCGUCGGACCUUCUCGACCGGUCCGCGAAAUAUUGUCUGACAUGAAACCGGUCCGUGAGGUAAAAAAGGUUGGGGACCACUGGGCUGAUCCACAACGUGUAUGUGUUUACACACCUCCUGGAUCCUGAUCGGUGUCGCUGCUGCAGCCGCAAGGCACUGAUUGGAUGCUCACAGACCGUAAUACAGCGCAGAUGAAAAUGAUUCAGACUACGCCGUUUAUAUGUUCAACAAUAGGAAACGUAGUCUUGGCUGUUUUAAAAUUACACCAAGUUUAUUUCGGAUUAUUCCAACGGAAGAAGGGAACUUUGAGGUGCGUAAACGCUAUUUAUAGGGGCGUAAACGCUAUUUCCAAAAUUCUAGAGGUGCGUAAACGGCGUUUACGUGCGUUUACCCUCCACUACAGCCCUGGCGGUACUCAAGUACACAAUUAAACCCACCAUGCGGCGUCUGCGAAAGAAAGGUAUCACCAUAGAUCAAUAUCAGCACCGCUAAAAGGCACUGCUUGACUGUAAACAAAUCCAAUAACGAAACUUUCAUUUUCAAAAUAUUUUCCAUCUGACCUGUGCAUACAGACCACUUAAAAGUCCCCGCAAAAGUUUAAAGAACCAAUCCCCUUUACUCUUAAUUGCAAUACUGGCACAAGUAAAUACCCAAACAAAUAAUGACUACUGUCCCUCAAGCCUAGUUUAUCCUUCUGCGUUUUCAGAGAGAUGCAAGGACACGCAGACGCAAGAGCCCCUUGCGUGCCUUUUCACACCUCCUUAAGUGCUUGCGUGCGUCGAAAGCAAGCCUCCUGCAGCCCGCAUGGCUCUGAUUGAUCUGCUAACUACAUCCUUUACGGAGUCUCACAUUACUGUUUUCAUAGCACAAUACUGCCAUUAUUAAAAGAAGACUGUUUACGAGAGAAGGGAUCAGAUUGAGAGCUUUUGUCAGAAGAAAUGCGUAAAUAUGACAACUUAUACAACCCGUCAUUGGCGGACUAAAAGGACGCGUGGAUGGCCUCUGAUUCAUGGAGGGAGAUCUCCGGAAACGUCGGUUUGGCGGUCGAGAGGUUCACAAAGUUGUGGAGGAAAAUAUGGGACAAAUGUGUCUGCGAUGAAAAGCAACAGUGGCGAUGCACGGGGCAAUAAAGUCUAUGAUAAAUAAAUAAACAAACCAACGACUUCCACACCAAAGACGUAACUCUGUAGGUCAUCUUCAACAAAAAACGUUACUCCACAUAUUGUUCUGGCAGUGAAUUGCUCUGCAACACACACCUUUUAGAACCAUGAAUUGAAACGAGUGCAUCGACGCAACGACGCAGACGCCGAAGCACGCGCCAGCCUUAAGGCCCCUUAUUACACCCUCCAUCUCCAUUUAGGUCCCCCUCCCAUUACACUUUAACCUCCCCAUCCUCCCUCCUCCGCUUUCCUUCACAUGAAAGACUCAGAAGUAUGCACCAGCCUUUACCUUGUAUAAGCAUGCGUCGUGCAUUCAAAUUCCCAACCAUCAUUUGUAAAUUUGAGAUGCUGCAGAAUUUUAGUCCCAGUUUCAUCAAAAUUGUUGUCCUGUAAUGGAUCUGGGACUCUGUUUAUCGAAAAUAACUAGACCAAAGUCCCAGUUUCAUCUAAAUUGUUGUCCUAUAAUGGGUCGUGGACUCAAAAUAACAAGACAAAAGCCCAAAGAGACAACAAAAGAAAGACCUUACUCAAAGAGGUAAAUUGAUCUUUUGUAAACUGCCGUUUAAAAUUGAGAUUAUUAUUUAUUAUAUAUUAUAUAUAUAAUAUAUAUAUAUUCUAUAUUAACAAAAAAAAACACUACAUAUAAUGAUAUCACAAUUGUAUAUAUAUAUGUGUGUUUGCUUGUAUGCUGGUUUUAAUAGGUGUCAGCCAAAUAAAAAUAAUAUAUAUAUACAUACAUUAUUCUGUGUAUUCACCUCUUCAAAUACGGGGAGACGCGGGCGGCGAGCUGCGCCUCCUCUCGGAUUGUGCAAUCCCUCAUAAACCCGGUUGAGCUGCUCAAUUUAAGCAUGUACAAUUAAUGCCUCUGUAUGUCGCCAAUGUAAUGUCUGUACACACCUCUAUCCCAUAGUCUGGUUCAUGUGUUUUACGCAUCGUGCAACGGCUGCGCAAAAUCUAACUGUUAUUUUGAUUGCGCACUGAUAUGGAACACUCAGAAUGUAAACAGGUACAUUAUGGCUCAAUUCAGUAAACCCCGUGACUCGCUCUCAAUGAAUCAGAACGCUUGAUUUCAUCUACCCAUAUUAUAAAUAAAUAUGCAAUAUACGGGACUGCGGUGAGGACAUACAACCAGGACGUGGAUGAAAACAGGCACAUCUUAUCCAAAAUGAUUUAUUGUGCGAAGUUUUGUGUGGCUUUUGUUCUUUCCUCAACAUCAAAGCUGCAUCUCAAUAUAUAUAACGUUAUAUAUACACAUUUUAUAUAUUUAUAAAUAUAUUUCAUUGUAAUUUAUUUAUCCUUUAUUAUAAUAGUUACGAUAUGGAAGUUAUAUCAUAUUCUGAAUAUAUCAUCUAUUAAUAUACUAAAUUCUUUGAAUAAGAUGUCCUGAUGUUGGAAUAAAUGUUAUGUAUUUAACUGCAAAGUAAUAAUGCAUGUCUAAUAGCCUUUUUUGCAUUGAAUAAUACUGGGAUGUUUACUGACCUGAUUGGCUGGCCCUACCAAAAAAAAUAUCCACCAGCUGCCCCAGCGAGUAUGUAUUUCAGACUAGUAUGUAAAAUGUUUUAUAAAUGUCUGUGCAUAGUUUUACAGAGUAUGUAUGUAUGUAUGUAUGUAUGUAUGUAUGUAUGUAUGUAUGUAUGUAUGUAUGUAUGUAUGUGUGAGUGUGUGAGUGAGUGAGUGAGAGAUUUCAAUAGUGAACGUAAGAAUGUUUCAUUAAUUAAUGUGUGAGAGUGUCUGACGUUGGGCUCCCACCAUUGCGUAAAAGUAAGGCCGACUUUUGAAUGCAGUGUUCUGCUGCAGGACAUAAAACCCCAGAAAGGAAUGUGCCUUCACACCCAGGUGUGAUUUCUCUCUCUGGGUGGAUUGGCCAAGCCACAGACACCACAGGGGUCCCCCUGGUGUGUUCUGUGAGGUCCCUCGUCGAAACUUUCAUUCUGAGCUAACCUCAGGUCGGUGUGAGGUUAAAGACAGUAUCUCUCAAAUCCCUUUCCGAACUGACUCUGGUCAGUGUAAGGAUGAGGCAACAGAGUCUCUUCAAAUCCCUUUCCGGACUGAUACAUUUUUCCGAAUCGACCUGUGUCGAUGAGAGGUUGAAGACAGCCUUUUCAAAUCAACUUUCCAGACUGGCCUCAGGAUUAAGGAUUCGGGCCUCUCCAACCAUUUUCUAGCUGCUCCAGAGAAGUCCGGCUUUCCAGUACCCACUUCUGGCCCAAGCAGCUCACCAAGAAGGAAAACUACCCCCUUGGAUACAACGUGUGUUAAGAGCACACAAGAGCACCAAUAGCUUUUGUGCCACCAAGAAACCCAACAGUCCUCAUAAUCCCAAAUCGAUCCCUGCAAAAAAGGGAUGGACUGGUUGGACACAGUUAAAUGAAACUCGAGGAAACAGACAACCCCAUCAACACACAGUAAGGCGAAGUCUGGGCAGAAGUUAGAUUAGCAUGUGUCGUUAUUUUUGUUUUGGUAUUUAAUGUAUUGUUUAACAAGAGAUUGUAUGUUUUUGAACUGUGUGACGUGAUAAAGUUAACCACUAUCGUGCCUCACUGUUCUGAAUGAGAUCUGCUUUCUUUGAUUUCUAACUUACUAACACACACACACACACACACACACACACACACCUGUCCCUCCACACAUAGAUUUACCUACAGACAGAGGUUUAAAUGUAAGGAACACACGUGGUGUAUAAACACAGCCUGCUAGCAACACAUUGGCCAUGGGGUCGGUAGUUUAGCGUGCAGCAAGCUCCCUUCCUGAGCUCUCCCCUCCUUAACUCACACACCUCCACUACACAUGCAUGAAUGAAUGUUCUUAUAUAUUGUUAUUGGAAGAUAAUAAACCCUGUUAUACUUUAAGCAGCAGUUUUCUGUGAUUUCUUAUGUGUACUGUAAUGCUGGAAGGAAACAGACCGUACUGUCAGGGAUGCGUGGAAAGGCAGGACGCAGAGUUCGAAAACAAAAAGGACUUUAAUAGUCAAAACAGACACACAUGGCUUAAAUACACUAGGGAGGUGCAGGUGAUUGGACACAGGUGGAAAUUAUCAUGACAAUCACAGGAGGACAGGACAUGAAGUGACAUGACCCAGGGAGAACAGAGGCAAGAAACUACAAAAUAAAACCAGACAUUAACCCCAAACCGUGACAGAACUCCCCCCUCAAGGGCCAAAUUCCAGAUGGCCCUAAUCUGACCAGGAACAGACAAGGGGCGGGAGGGAGGGAAACCAGACAAUGGUAGGCCGUCCGGGGGAACUCUGGCGGGCGGCCCGGCAGGCAGUC